rnacentral:rRNA from 1 species
GACGAACCGUGCGAACGUUAUUCGGAUUCACUGGGCCUAAAGGGCGCGUAGGCGGCUCCGCGAGUCGGGGGUGAAAUCUUUCAGCCCAACUGGAAGAGGGCCUCCGAGACCGCGGGACUCGAGGGGGAUAGGGGUGCGCGGAACUUCCGGUGGAGCGGUGAAAUGCGUAGAUAUCGGAAGGAACGCCGGUGGCGAAAGCGGCGCACUGGAUCCCUACUGACGCUGAGGCGCGAAAGCCAGGGGAGCAAACGGG